ACGGAGGAUCCAAGCGUUAUCCGGAUUUAUUGGGUUUAAAGGGUGCGUAGGCGGCUUUUUAAGUCAGUGGUGAAAGUUUUCAGCUCAACUGAAAAAUUGCCAUUGAUACUGAGGAGCUUGAGUACAGAUGAGGUGGGCGGAAUGAGUCAAGUAGCGGUGAAAUGCAUAGAUAUGACUCAGAACACCAAUUGCGAAGGCAGCUCACUAAAGUGUAACUGACGCUGAGGCACGAAAGCGUGGGGAUCGAACAGGAUUAGAUACCCUGGUAGUCCACGCCCUAAACGAUGAUUACUCGCUGUUAGCGAUAUACAGUUAGCGGCAAAGCGAAAGCAUUAAGUAAUCCACCUGGGGAGUACGCCCGCAAGGGUG
rnacentral:rRNA from 1 species